rnacentral:rRNA from 1 species
GGACCCGCACAAGCGGUGGAUGAUGUGGAUUAAUUCGAUGCAACGCGAAAAACCUUACCUACCCUUGACAUGUCAGGAAUUUUGCAGAGAUGCGAAAGUGCUCGAAAGAGAACCUGAACACAGGUGCUGCAUGGCUGUCGUCAGCUCGUGUCGUGAGAUGUUGGGUUAAGUCCCGCAACGAGCGCAACCCUUGUCAUUAGUUGCUACGCAAGGGCACUCUAAUGAGACUGCCGGUGACAAACCGGAGGAAGGUGGGGACGACGUCAAGUCCUCAUGGCCCUUAUGGGUAGGGCUUCACACGUCAUACAAUGGUUGGUACAGAGGGUUGCGAACCCGCGAGGGGAAGCUAAUCCCAAAAAACCAAUCGUAGUCCGGAUUGCAGUCUGCAACUCGACUGCAUGAAGUCGGAAUCGCUAGUAAUCGC